AUACGUAGGGUGCAAGCGUUAAUCGGAAUUACUGGGCGUAAAGCGUGCGCAGGCGGUUUUGUAAGACAGUGGUGAAAUCCCCGGGGUCAACCUGGGAACUGCACUUGGGACGGCAAGGCUGGGGGGCGGCAGAGGGGGAUGGAAUUCCGCGUGUAGCAGUGAAAGGCGUAGAUAUGCGGAGGAACACCGGUGGCGAAGGCAAUCCCCGGGGCGUGCACUGACGCUCCUGCACGAAAGCGUGGGGAGCAAACAGGAUUAGAUCCCCUGGUAGUCCCCGCCCGAAACGAUGUCAACUGGUUGUUGGGGAUUUAUUUUCUCAGUAACGAAGCUAACGCGUUAAGUUGACCGCCUGGGGAGUACGGCCGCAAGGUUAAAACUCAAAGGAAUUGACGGGG
rnacentral:rRNA from 1 species